rnacentral:rRNA from 1 species
UACGGAGGGUGCAAACGUUGCUCGGAAUCAUUGGGCGUGAAGCGCACGUAGGCGGCCCGGUAAGUCGGAUGUGAAAGCCCUCGGCUCAACUGAGGAAGUGCAUUCGAAACUGCCAGGCUUGAAUAUGGAAGAGGGUCGCGGAAUUCCCGGUGUAGAGGUGAAAUUCGUAGAUAUCGGGAGGAACACCAGUGGCGAAGGCGGCGACCUGGGCCAAUAUUGACGCUGAGGUGCGAAAGCGUGGGGAGCAAACAGG